UACAGAGGUCUCAAGCGUUGUUCGGAUUCAUUGGGCGUAAAGGGUGCGUAGGCGGCGCGGUAAGUCGGGUGUGAAAUCUCCGGGCUCAACCCGGAAAUGGCAUUGGAUACUAUUCGGCUAGAGAGUUGGAGGGGGGACUGGAAUUCUUGGUGUAGCAGUGAAAUGCGUAGAUAUCAAGAGGAACACCAGUGGCGAAGGCGAGUCCCUGGACAACUUCUGACGCUGAGGCACGAAAGCUAGGGGAGCAAACAGG
rnacentral:rRNA from 1 species